GAGAACUGUAGUCUCCACCCAAAUAAAUUCGAUUUCACCAAAUAAUAUUUAUACCACGACGCCUCUGAAAAAGUCAUAAAUAAUUUUAUUACGCAGUGCCUGAAGAAGGCCAAUUUCCAAGAAUGUUAAUCUCCGCCUACUACCCAAGACCCCAACGGAAAAAUUCGUUAACGGGGUGUAAAGGCAAGCAGUCAGUCAACUAUCAAAAUUUCUUAAGAACGCACGCAAAAACCUCUUCUUUGCUACGCCGGCUUUUCGAAGUGUUUUCUACAUAAAGUGUGGAAAAAUGUGUUGUGACGGUUUUAUGGUAGUUGUUAACUCAAAUGUUCAUAUAUAAAGUUCUAUUUCUUGCCCUUUCAACUUAAUUACAGUCAUAGCAAAAUAGAAAGUGUUUUAUUUACUUAUCCAAUUCAACAGGCCAGAAUUAGCAACUUAUGGAAGUCCAUUAAAGUUUCUCCACUGAACAAAUCGAAGGGAAGCGGAUCAUUGAACUUAUGGCAAGUACAAACCGUUGAAAGGGAAACUGAUAUCUUUCAAGACCCAAUUAUGGAGGAAUGUUGAGAACCUGCAGUCCUCCACAAUGAGAACGAUCUGUAUUCUUUGUAUCAUGGAACUAAUCCACAUCCGCUACCGCCCUACCCUGUUUAAAAUAUUCCUGGAAAAACCUUGAAAACAUGGAAAAAAAGUGCGAAGAAAGGGAU
rnacentral:lncRNA from 1 species